CCAGGGGCUGAAGUGAAUUUCAUUAUUUCCCUUUUUUCUCCCCAUCUUUUCAAAAUGAUGGGAAAUGUGUUGUUACUUCUGGUUUUACUCGCUCUCUCGCCCUGUGCCCGGUCCCAAAUCCAGCUGGUCCAGUCCGGGCCUGGCGUGGUGAAGCCCGGAGAGACCCUCUCACUGACCUGCACCGUGUCUGGUUACUCCAUUUCUUCUGGCUACAACUGGGCUUGGAUCCAGCAGGCUCCUGGGAAAGGCUUAGAAUAUAUGGGGCAUGUAUAUGCAGCUAGUGGGAGCACAAACUAUGCCCCGACUUUCCAGGGCCGAAUCACCAUCUCUGCAGACACCGCCAAGAACCAGUUCUCCCUGCAGCUCCGCUCGCUGACAGCUGCAGACACCGCCACCUAUUACUGUGCCAGACACACAGUGACACAGAGCAGAGCAGGGACCCGACUAAGAAAGUGUGCUGGGGUCUUGAAUAUACCUUUGUCGAAAGGAAAACAAUUACCAGUUGCCUUCUACGACCUCAAAUCUCUAGACAAGGUGUGA